AGUAGAAUGGCUGAGAUAGAGGUGAUAGAUUGUAAAUCUAUAAAGGGAUAAUAUCCUUCUACUA
rnacentral:tRNA from 1 species